UUGUCAGCAAAGCCAUAGAAAGUGUAAUAGUUUCUGUAGUAUGACCCGUUAUCUUAUAAUGCUUGCAUUGGGGACGACUCCUACCACCACCAUCGGGUCCUCAUCUAAUGACAUGACCACCUUUUCCACAUGUAGAUACCAUAGCAGAGGAUUUAGCAAAUUCUUGAAAUUUUCUGCCUUUGAGAGCUAUAACAUGAAGAAGUCGCGUUCUUAAGAUUUCAAUGGUUUGAACUUCUUGACCUGUUAAGAUAUGAUCCCUAAUAUAAAUCAAAAUUUGGAUUCAAUGCAUGAAGGAUCUUGAACAACUUCCAAGAACAUCUUCAAUCUUUCAACACCAGAUUAACCUUCAACAAUAAAAGACAUCAUAUCAUGAUCUGUUUGUUUAAGGGGUGCUAGCUUGUGCGAAAAAUCACAGAGCCACUGAAUGCCAUUUGCAAAAAUACUCUUAAGAUUUUUUCCAAGAGGUUGUGUAUGCUUUAAUAGUUGAGGGUUCCACAAAUUGCCAUAAUAGAGCACAAAGUUGAAAGUCCAAACUUUGUCAUUGUGCAGUAUUUUCUUAUGAGAACUCACUAACAUCUUUUUCCGAGUGAUCAUGAAACCAAAAGCCAAGAAACCAAAGUUCAAUAGAGGUUGUCCAAGAUAAAUAAUUUUUCCCAUUAAGCUUUUCUAAUGUAAUGGUGGGAGAACUUGAGAAACAGUGUGUUGGCCCACAAGUCAUUUAUGAUAAGAAAAGAGGGGGUAAAGCAGGAGCUCUACAAAGAAAAAAGGGGAGCCAAACAAUCAAUCCGUGAGGAAGGGACAAUAGGGGCUGGAAUGGGACAUAUAGGGGACAACAUAUCCAGCUGCGACUGCACAAUUUCACUUUGAUGGUUGGAAGAUGGCACGUGGGCAAAGAGGCUGUGCAUGGUAGCAUGUGAGUAGUUUCUGCCUUUGAGACCCACAGGGUUGGCUGUCACCCAAAGAGACUCUCCUGAUUCGGUGGUCUUUGGAGGAAACUAUGAUAGUUUGACAACAGUAGACAAUAGUAGACAGUGGUUGGACAACAUUUUCUUUGCCGGAAAGACAGACAAGCAAAGUGGGAUCAACUUGCUCCAAUACCAACUAAAGAGAGACUAUAUUUUAUAAAGCUUAUCCAACUCUCUCUUAGGUUCUCAUAUUUAUACAGAAAUGGUAGAUUCAUUUGAGAUACAUUGGAAGAUAGAUAGAUUAGAAAACAAGCAUCUCUGGUCCCUAGGUACAACUCAAAACAACUUUUUAAUAAAGUCUAUAACAAUACAUGCUUAAUGAGACUUUUAUUUAUUAGUUCUAUAUGAAUAUUAGAAGUGUUGCUCACUCGUUAAAUAUGUGAAAUUGUUGUACCAGACAUAAUACUUUAGUUUUUGACAAACAACGAUAUUAAUUGUGAAGACUGGGAAGAAAAUAACAACAUUUGUAUGGGUGAUUGAUCUAUCUUAUUUGAUGUGAUGCACUGAAUGGAUGUCUGAAAUUAUAAUUUACAUGGGAUGAGGGGUCAUGUUUGGUACAAACCCUAGCUGUGUAGGUUUAUUUUAGUUUUUGUUUCUGCUAAUGAGUAAAUAGCCUGCUCCAAUUCUUGGCGUGCGACUUUGUAUUUGUUGGACAAUUUACUUAAUCCCAAUUGGCUUUCGAUGAAAUUUGACAUGGUAUCAAAGUCUAUAGUUAAUCUUGGUAAGUGAUCUAAUCUGGUAGGCAUAUGUGGAGGGGUUUUUUUGGAAGUCUCACAUGUCUGUCUCAAUUCUUAUAAUGUGACAUAUCUGUUGAGCAACUUCAUUUGAUACCAAUGGGUUUUAGAUUAAAUCUGGCACGUACUAGUAACGGUUGAUGACUACUCGACCUUUGGUCUCGUAUAAAGUGCUUAGGCAUAUUGAUCUUCAACAACUACAUAUUUCUGUUGCUGGCACACUUAAAAUUAAAAGAUGUUCUCUUGUUUAUGUUCUUGCACUUGCAGAACACAUCAGGAAGUUUAUGUUUUCGUGGUCAAAGUAUAUUUCUACAUAAUACAAGUGGCUGGUUUGGCAGUAUUCCUCUAGAAGCAUCUGGGGAUUUUGGCAUCCAUCCUGAGGAAGGAGAGUUUCAUCUUCUGUGUCAGGUACUCCCUUAUGUGUGUGCUUGAGUUCAUAAUUAUUUAUUUAUUGUUAGAAGAUAGCAUGGUUACUGAUAGAGGGCUUGGUUUUAUACUAUGACUUGAUCCUAUCGGUGGUAAUAUAAAUAACUGCAUUAGGUUAUUGGAAAAUGUUAGUAAACUCUGAUAACACAUUACUGACCAUCAUUCUUGCAUUUUUCUAGUCUAAAAUUUUAAAAGCUAGUAUUCACUUUGAGGAUUAUUUCUCCAUUCUCCUGUAUUAGGUUUCUAGAACUUAGUUGUAUGUUCUCCUUGAUGUGUUUGAAUUUUAGAAAAUAAAAAUAAGAAAAAAAUGUUGAACAGGAAAAAUUAACUGUAUUUCUUACUUGUGGAACCAUUACAACGAGAGUAAAUAAAUUGAGAUACUAGGCUGAUUCUGUACACUGAUUUGAACCUAAGAAUCAAGUGAAAAUGAUUCUUCAUAAAAAUAUUGUUCAUACCAGAGGAGAGAAAUUAUAGCAUAUCCUGAUUCUAGCUGCAUCAGAAAAUUGCGUUGUUCUGUUUGAUUGCACAGUCAUCUACGCACUCCCUGUAUUUUGGUGAUAGAUAUCUUAGGGGAUUUCAUCUUAGAAUUUGGACUUAGGACCUAUCUCAACUUUACCUGUUUGUUAGGGGAGAAUUGCAAAAGCUAUAUAAGUUCUAUUUAAGCAAUAUUUCUGGUCAACAUGGGACUAAACCACCACCCUUGAGACUACUAUUACAGGAUACCCCAAAGAAGUCAUUAGUACGGUGGCUGAGGAGUGACUGCAAUUAAGACAACUUUCCAACACUUAUAUUGAUGCAAACUGGGGGAAUUUCUUGUGGUAGGAGGUCCACCGCUUGGUAACUCUUUGGAGGAAAUCCGAGUUCAUUGUAAAGCAAGAACUAGCAUGUGCUUACAAAGAUCAAGUGCUGAAGCUAAUACUAAGCUAUGACUCUCACUAAAGGUGAAUUCAUAUGUUUGAAACAACUUUUAAAAGUUAAAAUUUUGUGUUGUGAGAGUAAACCUAUGAAGCUAAUUUGUGACAACCAGACAUUUCUUCUAACCCAAUCUUCUAUAAACAAACUGAACAUUUAGAAAUUCACUAUCACUUCUUUAAUGAAUACUUUUGGAGAACUUAGCACAUACAUCGUCAGGUUCAAGUGGUCUGAGUGAUACUGGACUCUGCUAUUAAGCAUUGCCUUAGGUUUGAGUCUUAUGGAUGGAAAAAAUGUGGUUAGGAGAGGCAAUCCCACAGGUGGCCAGUCAGGUUUUCUGAUAAAGUAGUCAUUGGCAAAGCUGGUAGAUACUUACUAAUAAUAUAGUUGUGAAAAAUUAUCAAUUGGCUGAUUUGUUCUCAAGGGAGGGGGACCAAAAAUAUUUUAGAUGUGCACUAAGCUGGACGCUUUUGAUUAAGGGGAAGUGUUGGAAUCAUAGAUAACUUGAUUACAAUUAGAUUUAGCUCGCUUUAAUGCUUAUGUUCAUUGCAAUCUAGGGAACUGAAAUAGUUUAAUUACCCUUUCUUGUGAACAGUAUUCUGUAAUUAUUUCUGUGUAUGUGUAUCCUUGAACUGCACUCAUAAUCAGUCUUCUAUUGUUUUUGUCUUCAACUAUUCUCACCUCAUUGAAUUUGAGGAAAAAGUUACAGUUUUUUCAUCUUCCCUAAUACAUUGUUGUUCAAUUUUCCAGGUUCCUAGUGUUGAAGUGAAUGAGCUGAUGAGAACUUUCAAUAUGAGAUCUCUCUUGUUUCCUGUAUGUUUUCUUCAGUUUGAUGCAUUAACUUAGACAUGUUCAAGUUUUCUAGUAGAUUAAUCAUUUCCAUUUUUAUAUAUUUUUUUCUUUCUUUAUAUUGCAGUUUUUCAAUCUGAAAACAGUACCAUUAAAGUUUUAUGCAAGUUUGUCUUAUAGUCAUUCAUAAAGUUAGUUCAUUGCUUUCAAUUUUUCUGUUAUUAUUUUUUAAUUGCGGUCCCACUGUACCAUUAUUUCUUUAUACUCACUAUAUUUCACAGCUAACACAUGGCUUUUGAUAAAAUUUAGGUUAGAUUUUCUAAAGACUUUUGUGAAGCAGAAGCUGUCUAUGACUUGUCAUAGAAGUUAAAUAGAAUUUCAAAAUUUGAGACAUAAUGUGCCUGAUGUCAAUUUCCACUGUCUCCUAAAAAAGUAAUUGAUUAGAUUUGGUUCCCAGAAGUGUCUCUUUCUUUUGUUUUAGUCCUUUUGAAUUUGGUCUAAACCAGUUUAAUCUCAAAAGCUAGAUCAGAAGGUGCGAAUUGCCUAAGCCUUUAUUAGCUUUACUCUACUGGCAAAAUGAGAUCUCAACAACCCCCUACUUGAAAACCUUACAUUUUGAUCCAUAUAAUUUUAUAAAACUGAUCCCCAUAAUGUCGUUAGAGUAUUCUUCAUGCAAGGACCAAAACAAAAAAGGUAUGUCAUUUGUAGUGACCAAAAUAUAGUGUUUCUUGCAAAUAUGAAAAAAAAAUGGAGUGCCUUUUUUUUUGUCUAGAGGUUAAAAGGAAAAAUGGUGUUAUGUAUUGACACCAUAUUUAACACUGUUACAAUCUAAAUGAACAAUAGGAAUUGAUUCAUACAUGAUUUUUCUUAUAGGAACUAACAUGUUAAGUUAUAUUGGGACUAAAAACAAUCUAUGAUGUGUGGAGACCAAAUUUAUAAUUUAACCAAAUUAAGUAUUAGCUUAUCCAAUAUCAAUUCUUGUAUUUCUAAUUCUUUUAGGAGUGUCUGUGGGUUGGGAUGGGUGGGAUUUGGGCAAACCCAUUACCCAACCCACUAAAAAGGUAUUUUGGGUUUGGGUUUCUACAUUUUUAAUGUUAAACCCAAUACAUUCUUUAACGGGUUGGGUCAAUUGGAUUAAGAUUUUGAAAAAGUUUCUUUUCUUUUGUUACAUGUUGUGAUUUUCAAGUAUCAACCUAAUUAAAAAAUAACACAAUCUUCACAAAAAUGAAUUCAAGGCUUCUGAGUAAGCCAAUAAGUCAAGUCCUAACAAGUUUAUCCAAACUAAUUCAAGACAUGAAAAGAAAAACAUAAUGCAAUUUGUCCAUAACACAAGUAUAAGAGUGAGUCUCAAGUCACCCAUACUAAACUCAUUUUCCAACCCAUAUAAGAUUAAGUUACUCUUGGUUGGGUUGCGUUUGAUCCAUUCAUAAAUGAAACCCUUAACCCAAUUUAAUUGGAGUGGAUUGGGUCAGGUUGGGUCAUCAGGUAACCCAAGCCAAUGAACACCUGUAAUUUUUUUCAUAAUCAAAGUUUAUUGAUUGCAGCUUGCAGGAUCAAUGACUGCUCUAUUUAAUUGUCAAGGCCCUCUGGAUACUCCUAUAUUUGUGGGAACUGGGAUGCUUUCUAGGACAUCCUCUUCUUUACAUGUGGACACUCCUACAACUGAAGCAUCUGAAGUGCUUGCUAAAAGUAUGGAGGCUGGAGCAUUGGCAGUAUUUGAUCGUGUACCUUUUUCACAUGUAUCUGCUAAUUUCACUUUCAACACUGAUAACUGUGUAAGUUGAAAGUGAUAAUAAUUUGCACUGGAUGGUUCAGCUUUGACUCGUUGUUUAGGUUUGGUAACAUUUCCAUGCAUAGCACAGAUUGCUGAUUUGUAUGGAAUCAGGGCGAGCCUUGUGGAUGGUGGUGAAAUUCAAGGGGCUGGAACAGUGUGGAUAUGCUCAGAGGUAUAUUAGUACCUGUAAACUAUUUAAUAACAUUUUUUUUUCUUUUAGCCAUGAAGUAGCAUGCUUUUAUUUAGCAAAUAGUCACCACUUUAUAUUUCCAGUUUCCUAGAAUGUAUGUUAAUACAAUGGUGGAUCACCUACGUUUUACCCACUUUACGAUGUUAUAUUUAUUUUUUACUUAUUUAUGUUGGAGAGGGACUUCUUGGAAUUUCUCACAUGAAAGGUAGUUAUUCUCAUUCUCACAAAUCAGGAUACUAAUAGGUUUCAUUGAUUGGCUAAAACAAAAUUUCAGAAUACGAGUAUCUUGUUUUCUGUACAGUUUUCCCUCACCCUGCUAGUGUAUACUGUUUUGUUCUCAGGCUUUGGAUGAUGACACAGCAAUAGAUGCAAACUUCUCAGGAAGUUUUAACUUUGAGAAAAUUAUGCUUCGUUAUGUUCCCAGUUAUCAUCACUUUAUGCCACUCAAAUUUGGGGUUUUGAAUGAAAACACAAAACUUUCAGGAUCUCUUUUAAGACCGUAAGAUUAUUCCUUUAUCAGCUUUGAUUGAUUAAUAUUUAGUAAAAUUGUUGCUUAUUUCAUUGAUAUUAUCAAUGACUUUUCCAUUUCCUUAUUAUCAAUAUUUCUUGUUCUUCAAGUUGGCCUGUCCCAACUUGUUAAUACAGCUUUCCUUCUCAAUGAGUUAUAUAAUUUUUUUUAUUGCAGGAGGUUUGAUAUAAAAUGGACUGCACCGACAGCAGAAGGGUCUCUUGAUGAUGCUAGAGGAGAUAUCAUAAUCUCCCAUAAUUUCAUAACUGUUAAUUUUGCUUCAGCUGCAUUUGAUUUGUAUGUGAAAGUUCAAACUUCUUAUGCUGAUAACUUCUCUCUUAGAAGAGAAGAGUUUAAUGCAUCGAGAGCCAUUCCAUUUAUUGUUGGUGGAGUUGAUUUUGAUUUGCACAUGCAUGGAUUUGAAUUCUUUAGUUUGGUUACUCCUUAUAUGUUGGAUUUUCCAAGACCUUUGGUUUUGAAAGCAGCAGGAAGAGUCAAGUUUCAGGGAAACCUCUUAAAACCUAGUACCACUAUUGUUGAACAAAAUUUUGACAAGAACAAGAAACAUUUGUGUAUGUUGGAGAAAGGAAAUGCAGAUAGUCUGUUUGGUGAGGUUUCAAUCUCUGGUCUCAAAGUUAAUCAAUUGAUGCUUGCACCUCAGCUGUCUGGGUCGUUGAGUGUUUCUCCCGAAUAUAUAAAGGUGAUGAAUAAAAAUUUCUCCUCGUAAAAGUUGUUUCAUUUUGAGAUAUUAUGAACUUAACAAACUUCCUGGUAUUAUCAAAUUGUAGUACAGUUCUGUUUUUUUAGGAUGGGGAGAGGUGUGUUUACAAAAUCAUGGACUAGGGUCCUAUUAAAGAGAUUUGAAUUGAAUAAAUAUGGGUGGGGAUGGGGGAUAUAAGUUCUUGGUGAAGGUUUUUAAAUUCAUGAGCAGUUAAUUGGCUAAUGAUUAAUGUGUUGAAAGAGCUGUUAACAAGUAAUUGCUUGGUGACUUAAUGAAACAGUUGAAUGGUUAACUGUUCCUUACUAGCAAUAUAUGACCAAGAUUCCUUUUUGAAAUAUCUAUUGAUCAUUAUGUUUGAUAUUUUGAUGGAUGAAAUCUCUAGAUCUAUUCCCAUAGAGUGAAUAUGUUUCAAUUAACUCUCACUCUCCUGUCACACACGAUAAAAUCGUUGAGGAUGUUUGGUAUAUAAAGCCUGGUGACAAGCUUCCUGAACUUGAUUUAUAUGCAAGUGUUAAGUUAACUUGUAGAUUUUUGUUGGAUCUUGCUUCUUUCGGAAAUAAAUUUAAAAGGUUGAAGUUGGACUUCAAGAUGAAACUCUUCCAGAGAAUUAUGCAGGCCCUGCUUUGCUUAUGAUUUUGUCACUUGGUUAAGGAAAGUGAUUGAUAUGAACAUAGAGUUUUAUGACUAGGUCAACUCAUCCACAUGUACAUGUGAAUUAUCUUAAAUGGGAUAUUUCUCCUUUGUACAAUUUAUAAUAUAAUUUAUAUUUGUAUUUUAUUUCAAUAGGAUUUUUUCCCCUCAGGUAUCCAUAUUUAAAAAUAGUUAUUUAGUUAAAGGUAUACAUCUUUAUGUCUGUAAGUUUCAAAUAUCCUUUUGAGAAACAAUUUCAAAUUGUCUGGCUUUAUUCUACAUGUAUUAGUUUUUCUAACUUCCAUUCUUUAUUGGAGUGUAGUUGGAUGCCUCAGGUAGGUCUGAUGAAAGUCUUGUGGUGGAUUUUGUUGGCCCGCUACAGCUUAGUGGUGAAAGUGGUCUGAAAAGUGGAACAGUGUUGUCCGUUUCCCUUCAUAAGGGACAAUUGAGGGCUAAUGUAGAUUUUCGACCAUGUUAUUCAGCUAGCUUGGAGGUACCUAUAUUUAAAUAUUAGGUCAAAUGAUUGAAUCUAGAUAUAUUUGAUUCUGUGCUGGCAUAUUUUUAGGCACGCUAUGAGCCCAAACGUUAAUGUUGAUUUUUUUUUUUUUUUUUUUUUCGUUUUUCUUCCUUUUUUGGGCUGUACUUUUAGGUAUGUCAUUUUCCACUUGAUGAGCUGGAGAUUGCUUCUCUCAGGGGAACUAUACGUAGAGUAAGCCAUAAUAUUACCUAUCUGACUUCAUAAUUACUUAUCAUUCUUGUCUUUGCUAGACAGUCCUAUGCAUAUUUUUAUCAUAUGAAGUUGACCCAGUUUUGUCAGGGUAUUAUACAAUUUUCAGUGUUCUGCAUGAGUUAUUCAUGUGACUCAAGAUCUUUUAUAGUAAAUGCAAGAGGGCUUUGAGGAGAAUAAAUGACUAUUAGUAAGAUACCCAUCUCCAAUUCUAGAAGAUCAAGCAUUGGUUAUUUCUAGUUAAUAUCUCUAGCAUAGCUGCUAAUGUAAAUAAAGUCCUUUGGGCUUAAAGGAUUUACUCAAAACAGUAGGUUCUAAUCGGUGUCACUGAUCACCAUCCAAAAAGCUCAUAUUAUUUGAAGAAACUAUAAUAUUUUUAUUAAUAAGGAGGUAUUAUUGAUGGUGGUAAAAGAAAUCUUUUAUUUAAGUAUAUAAAGGCAUUACAAAAUUAUAAUAUUUGAAAAUUGACAUAUACACCAUAGUUUGUAAAAUUAAUUUUAAAAUAAAAUUCCUAAAAAUAGGGAGUGUGUCUAACAUGGUGUAUGUGGUGACUUUAAAUUAUUUUCUCCUGUUUACAAUUAGAAUAAAAAGCAAACUGGAUUUAUGGCAAAGAAAAAUGGAUAUCAAAUGAAGGAAUUCCUUUCCAUAGAGGUAUGGGAAUUUUUAAGAUAAAACAUAGCAAAGGUGCUCAUACACGAAAUAUGGAUAACAUAAAAUUUAGAGGAAAGUAUUUCUAAUAUGCCACUUUUUCCAUCUCUAUCAGAUUUGUUAUUUUUAAACCUUUUGAUCUUUCCCUUUUUCUGUUCAUUCCUGCCUGAAUAAUUACAUGGUCAAAGCAUUAUUUAAUAGUUAAUUAAAAUUAUGUAGUACUUUUCAGCUAGUUGCCUUUUUUCUUUAUUUCGGGGAAAUAUGCAACUUUUGACAUUUUUAUCUGAUAUGUUGCUACUUCAUUUACCUCUUCACUUCUGCCUUUUUCUGUUUAGUCUUGCCUGAAUGCUGACUUGGUUGCUGCGUUAUAAAUGGUCAUGAAAUAAAAGUAAUGUGGUUUCUAUCUGGUUGACCUUUUCUUUUUCAGGCAGAAAUCCAGCUUAAUCUUCCAAAAAGAAGAGGACAUGGAAUCAUAUCUGUACUUUGUCCAAAAUUCAGUGGGGUGAUCGGUGAAGCACUGGAUGUGGCAGCUAGGUGGAGUGGAGAUGUUGUGAGUUCCUAAGUUCAUUCUCUUAGGUUGAGAAGUGAAAGCAGGCAAUGUGACUGAAUGCAUAGUGUAUUACGUGGAGUGGGUAACAAUUACAACAAAAAUAAUUUGCUAAUUUCUAUAAUUCUUUGAAUCCUCUAAUUGUUUUGUUAACCAAAGAUAUCUACAAUAUGUGACACAUUCUCUCAAGUUGAAGCAUGUAUAAAUCAUAUGCAUUGAGCUAGACACAGACUUCGUGAAGUCAUAUGCUGAUUGACUAUUGAAGUUGGCAAAAUUAGUGAUUUCAUUUUGUCAAAUUCAAUUUUAAUAUAGUAAUAAUGGCAUUAAAUUGUGGUUAUGUUGCACUAGUAUCUGAACUGCACAUUGUGCUUUGUUUUUUACUGAUUGUCAGUUGGUGUUCUAUUGUUCAGAUCACAAUUGAAAAAACUGUUUUGAAACAAAGCCACAGUUAUUAUGAAAUGCAAGGAGAAUAUGUAUUACCUGGCACUAGAGAUUGCCCUGUUG
rnacentral:lncRNA from 1 species